rnacentral:rRNA from 1 species
GAUGAACGCUAGCGGCAGGCCUAAUACAUGCAAGUCGAACGGCCCCGACACUUCGGUGUCGGGGUAGUGGCGCACGGGUGCGUAACGCGUACACAACAUACCCUUUACAGGGGGAUAGCGGCGGGAAACUGCCAGUAAUACCCCAUGUCCUUGCGAGGUGGCAUCAUUUUGCAAAGAAAGUUCAAGCGGUAAAGGAUUGGUGUGCGUCCGAUUAGCUAGUUGGCGGGGUAACGCCCACAAGGCGACGAUCGGUAGGGGGGUGUGAGAGCAUGGGCCCCCCCACACGGGUACGUNAGACACGGACCCGACUCUACGGGAGGCAGCAGUAAGGAA